CCCAGAUGUCCUCUGCUCUGAACAUGCAUGACUUUUUGGCCUCCCAGCCAGCCAUGUAAGACAAAGAAACAAUUGAAAUCUGCAGCUAAGCAUUUUCCCUGCCUGAAUCUUCCAAUUCAGUUCUGCAGUUUAUUCUCCCCUUUUUUUUUUUUCUGCCAGUGUCCCGGCUUCUCCUGCUAA
rnacentral:lncRNA from 1 species